AUUGAACGCUGGCGGGAGGCCUAACACAUGCAAGUCGAGCGAGAGGCGGACGGGUGGGUAAGGUAUGGGCACCUGCCUGGUGGAGGGGGACAACUAAUGGAAACGAUAACCACAACCGCAUACAACGAGAUGUGCCCAGAUGGGAUGAGCUAGUGGGUGGGGUAAUGGCUCACCAAGGCGACGAUCCCUAGCUGGUCUGCGAGGAUGACCAGCCACACUGGAACUGAGACACGGUCCAGACUCCUACGGGAGGCAGCAGUGGGGAAUAUUGCACAAUGGGCGCAAGCCUGAUCCAGCCAUGCCGCGUGUGUGAUGAAGGCCUUCGGGUUGUAAAGCACUUUCAGCGGGGAGGCGGUACCCGCAGAAGAAGCACCGGCUAACUCCGUGCCAGCAGCCGCGGUAAUAC
rnacentral:rRNA from 1 species